UCCUUGAGGCUUAAGGCCCACAGUGUGCCUGGUGCAGGGAGGGCAGCUACGUGUCUCUUUUGAUGACUGACAGCGUUUAGGCAGCUGCCAGCUGCAGGGCUGGGACUUCCUUGCCGCCUCUGGACCUGCUGCUCGGGCUUUCUGCUGGGUCAGGUCUGCACCCGCGGUCUGAGGAGUCACCACGCCUCUCCCUCCAUGGAAAUUGGUGACCCUGCUCACUUGGGGAUAAAGAUCAUCUACAAAUCGAAACUUGGAUUAAGAUUUCAAGUCAUGCCCAUCUGUCACGUUUUGGAGUGAGAGCGAGGAUUCACGCGGUGUUUCUCCACCCUGGCUGUGCACUGGAAUCAUCUGUGGAGAUUUUAUGAGAUAUCGAUUUCAUCAUCUGGGCCUCAGCCCUGCGGAUUCUGAUUUGAUAGCCUUGAGGUGGGCCCUGGGGGAAAGGUUUGAAACUUCCCCAGGCGGUUUCCACAUGCAGACACACUGUGGACUCUGGUCUACACCAGUGGUUCUCAACCUCACCUGUACGUUGGAAUCUCCUGGGGAGUUAAGAAAAGUCCUCCUGCCCAGGCUGCACUCUGUCAUUAAACAGAAUGUCUUGUGGUGGCACCUACAAUCACUGGAGAGCUACGUGAAGCUCUCCAGUGAUUCCAGGGUGCCGACACCAUUGAGAACAGGCCCGCAUCUGUUAUAAUCGUAAGCGGGCUGGGAUGGCAUCACAGGGGAUGUGACAUCCAGGCUGGGUUUUGAAGCUCAAGUAAGAGUUUCCUAUGACAUCUACAGUAAGAGCUUUCUAGGACCCCUAUAGAGGAAAAAGGGACCUUUCCGGUAGAGAGUCUCCUGUGAAGGCCCAUCAGGAAGGAGAGUGGAGGAUUGUGUGCAUUGCUGAUGGAGCAGAGCAGGGGAGCUGUGCAGCCAGGAGACACAGACGCUGCCUCUCAGGGGACUUGGCCACAGCCUGCUCUGAGCAGGGAAUGGUAUUGAUGUCCCCUUCCUUGGAUUUGGGCCGACUCUCUAGUGACAGAGUGCAGCAGAAGUGACAGUAUGUACCCUCUGGAGCUGGGCCUGGUUCUCCUGGGAUGCUCACCUUUGGAGUCCUUGAUGUCCACCUGCUGAGCUGCCACGCUGGGAGGAGGUAGGAGCCACAUGAGGAGGCCAGGGACAUGUGUUAUGUCCCAUCCGAUGGCCUGGCAGGGUCCCCACUCAACUCAGACGGGGCCCGGAUGCAGCCCAGCGCUGGCUACGUGCUAGGCAGGUGCUCUCCCAUCCGCCCGGAGCCUGUGUUCUUUGGAACCAGAUGGGGGUAAUUUGGAGAAGCACAUUUCGAUCUCAAGACGAUUGUAACCAUGCAAAUGUUGGGAGAGCUUGUUUUGUCUUUCAGCGUGGACUCAAGGGGAAAACUGGUUGCCAUGGAGCCAGCUCCCGUCACGGCCUCUUACUCACCCACAGCUGGUUGCUGGAUGCCUACUACGUGCCCCAUGAGGGGGAGAGGUGGCUGGCGAGGGACGUCCUGAUGGCUCAAGCAGCCUGCCGUGGGGGCCUGGGAGGAAAUGACUCAGCAGCUGCCUACGCACAGGUCAGGUCUCUGAGUUGGAAUCUUCUCUCUCCUACCAGGAAGAGGUUAAGAGAGAGCCGUCAAGAGCCUGGUUUCAAACCUGGCCCUGCCACUUCCUCACUGUGUGGACUUAGGCAACUUACUUACCCUCUCUGAACUUCAGCUUCUUGGGAAACUGGGUGGCGAGUCACAUCCACUUCAUAGGGAGGUUGUGAGGAGGACGGUGGGCACAGUGUUCUGCCUGCAGCCAGCACACUGUGCACACCUGGGUGUAGACGCCUGCUGCCGCCACGACCCUUGAUCCCUCCUAUGAGCUCCACUGAGGCCCUGUGCUGAGGUUCCAGUGUUGCUGGGCUGCCUGCAACUCCUGCCGCUCAGGGCCUUUGCUGCCCUUGGUCCCAGGAGGCUGCAGGGCUGGGUCCCCCACAGGCAGACAUGGAGGAAAAUACCCUCCAGCGUGCUCUGGGCUUUCCCCUCCCCGCCGGGGAGGCUGCUCCCGCCUCUGCCGUGCCUGCCCUCCCCGGGGCCCUGCUGUGGGCACCGGCCCAGCCACCGUCUCCAGGGCUCCUGGGGGUCCCCCAUCUCAGUGCUUCUGCUUCCCUCCGUGGGUCCCCUCAGUCGGGCUUGGAAGCACCCAGGGCAGACUGGCCCUUCCUGACCCUGUGCCUGGUGCAGGGGGCACCUGCACCGCUGUCUCUGCCAAGGCUGGGGUGUGCACAGCUGGAGACUGGCAGCGGUCACGGCAGGGUGUGGCGGGAGUGGCCGUGAGGCACCAGGACAAGCUUGAGGUCUCCACCCGGAGGGGAGCAGCCGCUCGCAGUGCCCACGGGCCCUGGGCCCACUCUGCACCUGGGGCUGGGAGCGGGGCCCGUGCUUUGCUCCUGGUCUCCUUCCUGUGCAGGAGCAGCGGCUGCUGGGCUCGCAGUGCAGCUGGAACGUUGCCAUCGGCACACGCCCCAGGCAGGAGGGACGACCUGUGGGCUGGGCCCCCCAGGCACUGUUUGUGUCAUUGUCCAAGCAGAGGGCCAUGGGCUGCGUUCCCUACUGGCCUCAGUGGGUGAGGCUAAAGUUGGAGGGACACAGACCGAGGUGUCCUCGAGCUCGUUGGGGGGAGGCUGGGGGAGGCGUCACCAGCGUGCGGGGUCUCCCCUUAAUCCUGACCCCUGUUCUGAGAUGUCCUGCUCGGGUCACACGAGACCCGGUGGGCCAGGCUCUGUGAGGUGGCUGGUUAUCUAUUCCUCUCGGAGCGAUUCCCGCUGCCCUGCGGCAACCUUUACAGGCCCCGGAAGUCUUGCCAUCAAGACGGGCGUUGACUUUACUCAGCGAGGGGCGCCGGCUGUUGGUGAAGCCCACCUGGCCAGGCCCAAGGCUCUCUGCAACUCUUCAGCUGGGCUGCUGUUGUGUCAAAGUGGCCAGGACAAGACAGAGACAGUGUUCCCCCAAGGCUUUAUUUCCAAAAGCGGUAGUCGGCUGGACGCGGCCGGGGAGCGGGGAUGGCGGCCCCUGCUGAUCCGCCACAUGGUGCCACGUUUCCUGGAGCGCCAGGUACGUGCUAGAGCCUGUGAUGGAGCUGCCUGCUCCCAGAUUAAGGGGAGACGGCUCCUGCCCAGGUUCUGCUCUUUAUGCCACCGUUUCAUUCACGAUCUGAAUAAUUCAAGACCGAUUUCCUGCGGCCAGACAGGCCGGCUGAUCCGGCACCGGCUGCGACGGAGCUGACGUGGCAGAGCAGCCACCCGAACGCACGCAGACAGCAGCUGGCCUAGAAGCAGUUCUCGACACAGUUUGAACAUUUUCAGGGGGAAGUUUGCGUUACCUUAAGAUUUGCAUGAGAGGAGGCUUUCUGAACAUGUUUAUGCCACAUUUUCUCCAGAAUUGAAAUCAUUCCGAGUGUUCCGCACACCUGCCAGGGUCCCAAGUGCUGUGGGUCCUGUGGCACCCACUUUGGGAACCAUCGGCCAGGCAUUCUGCAGCGACAAAGUGCUGAGUCCGACCUGCCCCUGGGAGCUCCAGCAGAGUGAGAUGAAGCCCAGCCCGGAGCUGCGCCAGCCCCCAGCCGGGCUGCGCGUCCUCCUUCCAGCGCUCCCUCCGGCAGCCCGGCCAUUGCAGAGAGGCCUGGUGUGGCCCUUGCUGCUCUCAGCCACCCAGUGACUGGGCAGUGUUGGCCCUCCUGUUCUCAGCCCUGUGGAGUCCAGAGUCCUGGGGAGGCUCAGAAAGCCCAGGCGUCAGCCUCGAUUUCUUUCCUUUUUGCUUGAGUCUCAACCACUCAAGCAAAGAGGGAUUGCUUUCUGGAAGCAAUGGGUCCUCCUCUGGUCCUGGGUUCAGGUGCCCACAGGAGUUUCCAGGAGGGCAGUACCUGCUGACAGGUGACCUGAUGGAGCCCCGGUGGUGCCAAGGUGGUGCUGGCCCCACGUGCCUCUGCCCUGAUGUCCCCUGUAGCAAUUCCACAGGGAGGUUCUGUUGCUCCCAUUUCCCAGGUGAGGAAACUGAGGCUGAGCACUGUGGCUUACUUUCUAAGGACGCAUGGCCAGAGAGUACCAGAGCCAGGGAAGGAAUUCAGACUCCCAUAAACCACAUUCCUUCCUGUUCCUUUUGGGCCCCGGGACAUGGGUGACCUCAGACCCAAUGGUGGCAAACUGCCAACUUCUCUGUGCACCCGCCCUCAGCUUGGUUUGUGACAAAGGCCGUGCCCGAGACAGUCUCUAUGAUGGGUGCUACCCCUCUGCCCCUCCUGGGGGGAUGCUGGGCGCUCCCACCGAGGAGGGACCUCUAGCAGUAGCUGGGACCCUUCUUUGGGAGUAGCCCCCUCAUUUCCUUUGGUGCAACCUUUUCUCCUUGGUUCUCAGCCCCAGGGGUUGCGCGGUGAUGCUGUCUCCUCCACUCCCCAAAUCAGAGCAUGAGAUCAGGAAUGGGAUGAGGCCCAUCCAACCCGCAAGGCCCAGUCUUGGAACCCUGUUGGUAGGAGUCGUUGCUGCUCUGUGCAGGUUGCUGGGCUGGUAGAACCUAAGCCUAGAAUGCUGGGGCACGUCUUUUCUCCUUGUUGGAGGAACUCGGCUUGAACAUAAAGCCCGCACAGGGGAUAGUAGAGGGAAAGUGGACUCCACAGUCACUGGAGCACCUGGAUCCAGCUGUGCUUGCAGCAGAACUCUUGGGCUUUUCAGUGUCAUGACCUACUGUAUUUCGUUUUAUGGGUGGGCUUGCCAGUUUGGGUUUCAACCACUUUUGUCCAAUGAGUCCUAGUCCCAUAGUCUCUACCAAGAAGUAGCCUAGUAUGGUGUUUAAGGCAGAAUCCAGAAUUCUGCUAUUUACUACUGUGUGACUUUGGACAACUUAUUCGAUCUCUCUGUGCCUCAGUUUUGCUGAGAAGGCUUCUCUAGGGGAUCCUCCUUCCUCUGUCCAUGCUUUUGUCCCCAGACCCAGAGUCUUUACCUUGCACAAGCAGUUCCAGGCUCCAGUGAGGACUCAGAUGGCUUCCUGCACACACCCAGCCCCAUCAUGGUCCCCCACCCCGGCCCCCUCUCAAGCUGUCCCUUUCUCCAGGGCCAGAGGCCAGGGGCACAUCUAUCCCACAGCCAUUGCUAACCUGGUUAUGUUGAUGACUUCCUGUCCCCGGAAAGCAGCUGCAUUAAAAAACAAAACAAAACAAAACAAAACAAAACAAAACAAAACAAAAAAACCCAACUCAUUUUGUUCCCAAAGUUAUGCACAGACGUGGCUUUUUUGUUUUACAAGUUUGAACAGCAUUAAAGGCGAUAAAAAUAGAAGGUGCACGUCUCCCUCCCAGCUCCUCCUCUCCCCCUAGACGCCUACCAACCAGUAUCCUGUGUUUUCUCUCUGCCUCUGCGCAACCCUGGCUCUGGGGAGCUUUCUUUGAGUUGAAAGCAGCUUUUGGAGAACUUUCGGGCGGGCUCACGCAUCUGCCUCGCAGGUCACUUCUGUUGGUGUGCACAUGUUUCUCUUUUAAAAACUUGUGACACAACACCUACGUGUGGACUGUUCCGUCCUGGCCUCUUCCGCCUGCGGCUCCGUCAUGCCGAGUUGUCAGGGACCAAGAAGUUCUCAUUCUGAGAACAUUCUGACCUUUACAAUAAGCAGCAGCGCCCCCCCCCCCCCCCUCCUGGCUGAUAAUUCUGACAGUAUGGCGCCUAUGGCGCCCACGGCUUC